rnacentral:rRNA from 1 species
AAACUUACGCUAAUACCGCAUGGCCGUCCCCGUUCGGGGGAAAGCCGGGGACCUUCGGGCCUGGCGCGAUUGGAUGAGCCCAUGUCGGAUUAGCUAGUUGGCGGGGUAAUCGGCCCACCAAGGCGACGAUCCGUAGCUGGUCUGAGAGGAUGAUCAGCCACACUGGAACUGAGACACGGUCCAGACUCCUACGGGAGGCAGCAGUAGGGAAUAUUGGACAAUGGGCGCAAGCCUGAUCCAGCCAUGCCGCGUGAGUGAAGAAGGCCCUCGGGUUGUAAAGCUCUUUUGUCCGGAAAGAAAAGCGCCGGGUUAAUACCCUGGUGUCCUGACGGUACCGGAAGAAUAAGCACCGGCUAACUUCGUG